UACGAAGGUGGCUAGCGUUGUUCGGAUUUAUUGGGCGUAAAGGGUCCGCAGGCGGUUUGAUAAGUCAGGUGUGAAAUCCAACAGCUUAACUGUUGACACGCAUUUGAUACUGUUAGACUAGAGUAUGAGAGGGGUGAGAGGAAUUUCCAGUGUAGGGGUGAAAUCCGUAGAUAUUGGAAAGAACACCGGCCGCGAAGGCGUUUCACUGGCUCAUUACUGACGCUCAGGGACGAAAGCUAGGGGAGCAAACGGG
rnacentral:rRNA from 1 species